rnacentral:rRNA from 1 species
UACGGAGGGUGCAAGCGUUAUCCGGAUUCACUGGGUUUAAAGGGUGCGUAGGUGGGCUAGUAAGUCCGUGGUGAAAUCUCCAAGCUUAACUUGGAAACUGCCGUGGAUACUAUUAGUCUUGAAUAUUGUGGAGGUAAGCGGAAUAUGUCAUGUAGCGGUGAAAUGCUUAGAUAUGACAUAGAACACCGAUAGCGAAGGCAGCUUGCUACACAAUCAUUGACACUGAGGCACGAAAGCGUGGGGGAUCAAACAGG